UACAGAGGUCUCAAGCGUUGUUCGGAUUCAUUGGGCGUAAAGGGUGUGUAGGUGGCGCCGUUAGUCGGGUGUGAAAUUUCGGAGCUUAACUCCGAAACUGCAUUCGAUACUGCGGUGCUUGAGGACUGGAGAGGAGACUGGAAUUCAUGGUGUAGCAGUGAAAUGCGUAGAGAUCAUGAGGAAGACCAGUGGCGAAGGCGGGUCUCUGGACAGUUCCUGACACUGAGGCACGAAGGCCAGGGGAGCAAACGGG
rnacentral:rRNA from 1 species